UCAUUUAUCAACAAGAGAUUCUUAGUCAUUAAAACACAUGAACGUUUAGCUUAAUAUAACUUGAUUGAACAAUGCGGUUUUAUCAUUUGGCAGAUAAUUCUACUUCUUUUUCUUUAGAUAACAUAUUAAUAAUGAUAAUGUACUUUUUAUAAUAUCUUACACAUAAUUUACAUAUUCAUGACACUUGAAUAUUUUGAAAAAUGACGGUUUUGUAGGUUAUGAUUCAUCAGGCAUUGGUUGUUUGGGUUCAUGGCAGUGGAUGAUCGAUUUUAUUGGAUUUCUAUUAACUCAUCUGUCACCAUUUUGUGAUCUUUGGGUUGUUUGGUAAGUUGGCUUUUGAUUUAAAUGAUACUAUUUAAUUAGUUUGCGAGUGAUGAAGAAUGUAUAGAUGGCUUCUGAAUUUUCUAUCUCUCUUAUUUCAGGUGCUGGUUUAGCUGAUCGAAGUGGAUAACUCAUCAACUGAAUAACUGUGUUGUGUUGUGGUUGGAAUAGGUACAUAUUCUGCAGAUCAGGGAGCUGGGAGAGGAAAUCAUCCAGGCUCUUAAGGUCCCACAUCCGACUUUGGAAGAGCAUCAGUGGCUCACCGAGUAGGAGACUAGACAAUUGGAAACGCCAUACUAGCCAAGAGAUUGGUGGCGGCGGACAACGGCUGGCUCGCUACAUGGGAUGGCGAUUGGGUUGCAGGCUUCCCUGUUCCCUCGGCGGUAUUUGGAGCAGUCUACGGAGACAUAAAUGGCGGGUUGGACGCCCUCACUCCUUCAUCUCCACCGGCUGGACUCUCAUCUGUAUGCAGGGCGUCGGCGGCAUUCUCGAUCCUAGUAGAAGAUAAUUGUGCCAGGUUUUGGGGGUCUAAGUUAGCAGAGCAUAUACUGCCUCCUUCUCUCUCCCGUGGUGUCUCCAUGGUAUUGUCUUGAGGGUGUUGAUCAGUUGGGGUCAGGUUUGUAGGAUUUUGGGGGUGGUCACUAAAUUAGGAAAUUUGUGAAUUAACUGGGACUGAUUCAUGGUGACGAUACUAUGUGGGAUACUUUGAAUAAGUUGUCAAGUGUAGUACCAAAUUUCAGGAAUAUUGAAAUGAACAUAUUGACAGUGCCUAUUUCAGAUAGAAUUGUGUGGUGUUAAGAACUUCAAGUGUCAUGUACAUAAAAUACAGAUACAUAGACCAUCAAUGUGACUCAGGUAUGGCAGCAAACAUAG